UUGAUUGGUGGCAGAAGCGAUUAUUCCAAUCUCAUUGGAUGUCAUCCUGCCAGUUUCCUGACGACCGCAGCAUUUCAGGAAGAACAUCCAGACUGGUGAAAAGCGUGUUAUCCGCAGCACAGUUUGAGUGAUGGCGGCUCCCAGAAAGUAGCGUUGUUUCGCCUGCCUUCCCUGCCCACCAUUGGGGAGGUAAUCAAGCUGUACAAGCUGCGAGCAAAGAAACAGCUGUCCCAGAACGUUCUGCUGGACAUGAGGCUCACAGAUAAGAUUGUAUGCCAGGCAGGCAGUCUGAGGGACACCCAUGUGUGUGAGGUGGGUCCAGGACCUGGAGGGCUGACCCACUCCAUCCUCAAUGCUGGGGCUGCAGACCUGCUGGUGGUGGAGAAGGACAACCGCUUCAUACACGGACUAAAUCUUUUGUCUGAAGCAGCACCAAGGAAGCUCAGGGUUGUCCAUGGUGACAUACUCACGUCCAGAAUGGACCGAGGAUUCCCAAAAGUCAUAACCAAGGCAUGGGAGGAUGAUCCACCGGACCUGCAUAUCAUUGGGAACCUUCCAUUCAGUGUGCCCACUCCUCUCAUCAUCAAGUGGCUGGAGAACAUAUCCAACAGAACUGGACCCUUUGUUACGGCCAGACCAGACUGACCCUUACCUUUCAGAAGGAGGUGGCAGAGGGCUAGAAAUGACACAACAUGCUGGGUUCCCCUCUCCAGAGGUUGACAGCCAGCACAGCCAGCAGGCAGAGGAGUCGUCUGUCCAUCAUGGCCCAGUACCUCUGUGCUGUCAAGAGCUUCUUCACCAUCCCAGGACGGGCCUUCAUCCCCAAACUUGAGAAUGCUAUUAACGGAGACAGAGGCUGGAGCUGGCGGAGGUGAUGAUGCAGGAGGCAGACGUGGACCCCACCCUACGCCCCACAUCCCUGACAGAGGACUGGCGGACGUCUACAGCUGCCUCUGCUCUGAGAACCAGGGCCUCCUCACCUAUGACUUCAGACUCAAACACCUUAACAGGCGAUCAGGCAGCAGCACUCAGCAGCCCCUGACAGAGAGAGAGAGAGGCUAGAAGGACAGAGGGGAAGGAGUGCCUAAUGGUCUCUGUUAGAGCCAACAGACUGCUCUUAGCUCUAACCUUUCUACCAGGCACACGCAUGCAUUUUUAAACACCAUUUCUCUGGUGUCCCGGAGGUGCUUAGUGAGACACAGGGAAUCUCUGGUGUCCCGGAGGUGCUUGGUGAGACACAGGGAAUCUCUGGUGUCCCGGAGGUGCUUGGUGAGACACAGGGAAUCUCUGGUGCCCCGGAGGUGCUUGGUGAGACACAGGGAAUCUCUGGUGCCCCGGAGGUGCUUGGUGAGACACAGGGAAUCUCUGGUGUCCCGGAGGUGCUUGGUGAGACACAGGGAAUCUCUAACACACAGAUCAGACUAAAGCUCAGGCAGUCCAGUUAUAAAGGAAGAAUAGUGUGUGAAAUGACCAGCAGGAGAGUUAAGUGGUGAGAAGAGUUUAAUGCUCAACCCAUCAUGUCCUGGUCCUUACUUAUGAUCCUGAUUUCCCCAUAUGACUUUGUCCUCUGGGAAAUGAGUCCGGAAACUUUUUCAGGACAAUUUAGAGAAUAAGAAAAUGUUGACGGUAUUCAGACCACUCCUUUGUCUCACUGGGUGUUUUGUUAAAUAAAGUGAUGAUGGAACAAUG